GGAGAAGUACUCAAGUAGGUCGAAGAGGCGCCCCUGCUAAGGGCGUAGGUCGGGAAACUGGCGCGAGGGUUCGAAUCCCUCCUUCUCCGCCA
rnacentral:tRNA from 2 species